GCUCAGAUUGAACGCUGGCGGCGUGCUUAACACAUGCAAGUCGAACGAUGAAGCCCAGCUUGGAUGGGAUUAGUGGCGAACGGGUGAGUAACACGUGGGUGACUGCCCUGCACCUGGGAGUUACCUGGGAAACUGGGUCUAAUACCGGAUAUGACCUCUUGCUGCAUGGCGAGGGGUGCAAAGUUUUUCGGUGCAGGAUGAGCCCGCGGCCUAUCAGCUUGUUGGUGGGGUAAUGGCCUACCAAGCGACGGACGUAGUAGCCGCCUGAGAGGCGACCGCCACACUGGGACUGAGACACGGCCCAGACUCCUACGGGAGCAGCAGUGGGGAAUAUUGCACAAUGGGAGCCUGAUGCAGCGACGCCGCGUGAGGGAUGACGGCCUUCGGGUUGUAAAACCUCCUUUCAGCAGGGACGAAGCAAAAGUGACGGUACCUGCAGAAGAAGCACCGGCCAACUACGUGCCAGCAGCCGCGGUAAUACGUAGGGUGCGAGCGUUGUCCGGAAUUACUGGGCGUAAAGAGCUCGUAGGCGGUUUGUCGCGUCGUCAUGUGAAAUCCCGCAGCUCAACUGGGCUUGCAGGCGAUACGGGCAGACUCGAGUACUGCAGGGGAGACUGGAAUUCCUGGUGUAGCGGUCAAAUGCGCAGAUAUCAGGAGGAACACCGGUGGCGAAGGCGGGUCUCUGGGCAGUAACUGACGCUGAGGAGCGAAAGCUGGGUAGCGAACAGGAUUAGAUACCCUGGUAGUCCACGCCGUAAACGGUGGGCUGCUAGGUGUGGGUUUCCUUCACGGGAUCCGUGCCGUAGCCAACGCAUUAAGCGCCGCCUGGGGAGUACGGCCGCAAGGUUAAAACUCAAAUGAAUUGACGGGGUGGCACACAAGCGGUGGAGCAUGUGGAUUAAUUCGAUGCAACGCGAAGAACCUUACCUGGGUUUGACAUGUACCGGACGACUGCAGAGAUGUGGUUUCCCAACGCGAAGAACCUUACCUGGGUUUGACAUGUACCGGACGACUGCAGAGAUGUGUGGUUUCCCUUGUGGCCGGUAGACAGGUGGUGCAUGGCUGUCGUCAGCUCGUGUGUGAAAUG
rnacentral:rRNA from 1 species